GUGCUCGCUUUGGCAGCACAUAUGUGGAAUGAUACAGGGAAGGUUAGCAGGGGUCCUACAGAAGGAUGACAAAAAAAUUUAUGGGAAGUGUUCCCAUAAAAA